ACAAAAAGAGGAGCGAUCCUACUCCCUACCAGUCUAGCCCAGUAUCUCAGCUAUUAGCAGUAUGUGUUCUUUUGCUCAAGAGAGAAGUUGUAGGGGGUAGACACAGUGGGUUGCUCUGUGUUUUUACCUGAGGGAUCAUGGACAGGACAUGAGGAAGUGGGACAGAAAACCUACCUUCAACCCUAGAGGCAUGGGUACCUGAGUUGUAGGGAAAAGCAAUCACAAAUGUGUUCUUUUUUCCAGAAAAGUUGCUGCUUCACUCUACAGUGGGCAGUUCCCCAGAGUGGAAGGGCUGAUCCUAAGGAAAUUUUUUUUUUUUUUUUUUUAUAUGGAGUAAGUGGACAAUAUUGGAGAGGCCCUGCUGCAGCCUGAUGGAGGAGAGGGGCAAUCAGAUUUACUGGACUCUGUGGAGCCAGGGGCCUGGCAUGUCAGACUCACAGGAAUACAAGGCUCUAGCAGAUACCAGUGCACAGUGUACUUACUCUAAUGUCAUCAAACUAUAAAGAGGCAGAACUCAUUUGUAUUUUUGGAAUGACAGGGACAUCCCAAGAGCUGACUGUGUUGGAGGCUGAAGUAAGUCUGACUGGGAAUGAGUGGCAAAAGCACCUUACUCUGAUGGUCGCAGAGUCUCCCUGUAUCCCUGUCACAGGUGAGCUUAGGAGAGAGUAUUUCAAGGGCCCAAAAGGGUACCAGUGCACUUUUGAUCUUGCUGCCUUGGAGAUGGAGAAAACUAAGCAGCUGUCUACCUUUCCUGGUUUCUUGGAGGAUCCUUCUGUUGUGGAGCUGCUAAAGGUCAGAGAGGAACAGUUGCCGAUUGCUACCACAAGAGUAUACUGGCAUCAGUAUCACAUCAGCAGAGACUCUGCGAUUCUCAUCCAGAAGCUGAUUUGUUGACUCUAUAGUCAAGGAGGGAUCAACAGGACCUGCUUACCCUCUGAUAGACCCAUAGGGGCAGUUAGAGAAAUCUAAUGGAGUGUGGAGACUAACAGUAGACUAUCGUGGCCUGAAUGAAGUCACAUUGCUGCUGAGUGCUGCGUUACCCCGUAAGGGCUGGAGUCAAGGGUAGCCAAGUGGUAUGCAACAAUUGAUAUUGCUAAUGCAUUUUUCCUAAACCCUUUUGCAGCAGAAUGUAGGCCACAGUUCACUUUCACUUGGAGAGCUGUCAGGUACACCUAGAACUGACUGCUUCGGGGUGGAAACAGCCCUGCUGAGGGGACAGGGGUGAGGAGUGUGAGGUGUGGUGGGGUGAGUGAACAUCUACGUGGUACAUAGUUGCCGGCUUAGUUGUGGGUACAGACCACGACAGGCUUGUAUUAAGGACAGCUUGAUCAAUUCAGCUAAUCUGUGCCUCAUCUCUAAAAUAAGCUAUUAAGGAAAAUGUAGGUAAUGAAGGUCUUAUGAUGCAUGUUGUACUCUCUUGAACUGCCCAAGCAGGGAUAAACACUGUGUAGGCUGGCUUUAUCAGCCUGGACAGUUUAUCUUCAGAGCUAAUUUCAAAUGAAAUCAGCAUCGUCUUUAACUCAAAAGCCGGUUAGUACUUGGUUUAAGUACUCAAGAGUUUCAUCCACUGCUGUAGCAGCUGCUGCAUUAUGAUCAAAGAACUUGCUAGUGGUUGUGCUUCUUUACAUCAGAAGCUUAAUAUAAUAAUUGCACUUUAGAAUAAAUUAUAGAACUGUGCAGCACUGGCUGUUCUCUCUCUUAUGCUUAUGCUGAGGACUCUUCACAAAUUUUGUUUGGUUAUUUCAGCCUGGAAGAAGAGUCUCAGUGGUGAGAAACAGUGGUAGCUGCACUCCCACAGAGAGUUUGAGAGGCUGGAAACAAGCUACUGUGGUACCUUUUUUACCGUAAAAAAUGAAGAAUAUGUUGGAAAUACAGAAUUGGGAAGGGAUAGUGGGAGUGCUUCCUCUCAUGAAGGAUGACUUUUUUGUUAUUGUUUUUAAACAUCCUAAUUUGACCUGUAUAGUUUUAUUUCUUUGAGAAGUAUACCUUGGUCAACUGAAGAAGUAAGAUUUGUACUUCUUUUGUCUGCUUUUUGCAAAGUCUUGUGCUUUGGCAUAUGGCUCAUGUGUUUUUCCUGGUUCUUUGUUGGUUUUGCCUACUGUCAGAGCAAAUCUGUAUCUAAGAUGAGGGAUAAGCUAUUUCAGCAGCACAGAUGAGACAAUAGGAAAACUUAACAUGACUAGUAAUUUCUUCUUCAUUAAAUAAAAUUAGGUUGGCAUCUCCCCUUCUGAGAUUCUGAGGUUCUUAAGUUCAAAUAAACUUUGUUUUACCUAUGGAUAUACCCACUGAGAAGUACUAUUUUUCCUUGUGACUACUAUUCAAAGUAAGGACUUGUACUGCAAUUCUAUAUUACCUAUGUGGUUCCGAGAUGGCUUAUUUUUGUUGUUCAUUUCUUAUUUGGCUUCCUAGAGUCAUGCAUUUAAGCCCCUUGGUUGACUGUGACCAAAUUUGAAAGCUGGGUAGAUAAAAACCCAAGUCUUUAUUUUCUGUAGAGGAAAAGGAGGAGUAUGUAGUGUUCCAGUUAAAUUUUUUUAUUUAAUAUUCACUUUGGUUAACCUCUGUGCUGUUUCUCCUCAGGGUAAAAGAUAAAAGGUCCAGGGGAUAUGGGAAAAGAUAGGAUUAUUAUGAAAAACACCGGAUGGCUCUUAGGGAGGCAGAGCUGAUAUAAGCUGGGAGAGCUUAGUACCUCUGAAGUGAAUUUGAGAAGUAAAUUUGCUUUACUUCUCUUUCCUGAGGUUCUUUUUUUUUUUUUUGAGCGGGAGGGAUGUGAUGUGAUGAUAUUUAUUUGCAUAUGGAUGGAAAAUAGCAGAACUGAAAGGAAGAAUCAGCUUUUCUUCUUAAGGUUUUGGGAUUUGUGUAUAUUGAACUUCCGCUAUUCUGUUGUGGGAAAUAGCAUCUAAUAUCUUUUAAUGUAGCCUUUACUUCUAGCAGUGGAAGUUACUGCCUUUACAGGUACAAUUGUCUUGGUAGUUUUAGCUAAAAGCUUGCCAUCCACUGUAGAAUCAUAGAAUCGAAGCAUGUUAAGGGGUCACAAGGGACACCUAGUCCCAACUCCCACUACUAAGGGCAGGGACACCUCCCGCUAGAUGAGGUUGCUCAAGGCUUUAUCCAACCUAGCCUUGAACUCUGCCAGGGUUCGGGCAUCCAUGGCCCUAGAAAGAUGGUUCAGUUUCAUCCACAACCUAUAUGGAAAGACAGGUCUGUUUUGUACAUAAACUUAAAGGGGAUGGAUUGCUUCUUGUCAUUCCAGUCAAUCUAUGUGGGAAUUAUGACUUUGUGGAAGCAUGUUUGGUUCUGUAAAUGUUUGUUCUUCGUUUGCUGACACUGAUCCCAGUGUGCUAGGAAAAACCUCUAGACCUGAUGAGCUUGUUGGAACUGAUAGAGGUUGAUGCCAUGGUUUGGAUAAAGGUUCUUGUUGGGCCUCUCUUGGCAAAAAGAUUGUGUGUUGAAAGAGAAAAGGAACUUAGUUGCUUCUUGGCAGACCACAUGUUACUUAGCAGCACGGACCAGGAUGACUCAGUAUAGGAGUAGGUGAUAAGCAUGUCUGAUGUUAUGCCUCCUGUCUUGUUAAGUAAGUCUCCUAUAGCUUACCUAACCAUAGCAACUUAUUUGAAACUUUCCUUGCUAUUACAAGUAGUAUGGCUUUCUCUUCCUAUGUGACACCAGCAGAGAAGGUGGAGGUAAGAUCGCAGUUGCUGGUAGCAGGCUAGUAGGAAAAUGGCCCUCACACAUGUCCAUCUGUUGGGCAGUAAUUUUAACACAUGCUGUUUCUCAUGGAUUAAUAGAAAAAAUAUUAUAUUAGAGGGAACAGAAAUUGUGGAUCAUUGCACUCAUUUUGAAAAGGGAGCAAAACUGUGCAAAUAAAGACCCGAGAAUCAGCUUUCAGAGGUUGAUCUCUGCUGCUGUUGAUGUUCUGAUUAGAGCUUGGACAUGGCCAACACCCUUUGCUGUAGUUGGUCAGGGGUGUGCUUAAAUAGUCAGAAAUAUGAGGAUUCGUGUGGGAGUGCUAAAAAUUAUUUCUGCUUUUCUAAACCCUCUCAAGUUCAAAAAACAUUUCAGCUAGGUCCAUAGUAAGUAAAUAUCACAGACCUGUGGACUCAUGCCCAAACAUGGGGUGCUAAAGGUAAAAUUUUCUUAUCAAGCAAGUAAAGAUUUGCCUGUCAUCUUAUUCUCAGUGAGGAAGUAAUGUUGCUACCAAAUAGUAAGGCAAGAUAAUUUAAUAUCUGUAGCAAUAUUAUUUUUUGUUUUGAAGCAGUAAGUGUAUCAUCUUUUUAUUGCACUUCUCUUAUGCGUUCACUGUGCAAUAUAAUAGUGUUAUAUAAACUUUUGCAAGCCAGUGUUUGGGUAUGCAGCACUACUUUGAUUUCUUCUUUUCCCCAGAAAUCAACAUCACACACACUUGCUCUCCAGAAAUCCUCUUAUUGAAGGGUGUACAAGGACAGUCUGUCAUCCAACAGAGAGGAGGUUUGCUGAAAACCUGUUUCUGAAGAUAGGAAUUUGUGUGUCUUGCACCUAUUGGCAGUACUGGUUGUUCUAAAAAAGUAUAGUGUUUGGUAGGUGAGUAGGAAUACUUAGCUGUAACUAGUAGUAGGUGAGCAGAAGAAAGAACAAAUAUUCCUAUUGGCUUUAGUUGAGGCAAGUGUCAUUAUAGUGAUUAUAGAGGUAGAAUAUAUCUCACUGGAUUUUAUUUUCGCCAAGAAAUAAUGGACUAGGAAGAAGAUGUUUUAUCAAGGUUCUCUUCCUUACGACUGUUGUUAGCAAAUCCAGUGGGGCAGCUAACUGAACUUCCUGUCUGUGUCAUGUUUUGGGUUUUUUUUUGCUUUAUGCAAACACAGUAAGUUUCCAGGACUGGAAAAUAUUUUUUUUUUUUUUUUUAAGUAGUAUGAAUAGUAAUUCACUGUUAAAUGGCUACUCUAAGGUCCUGUGGCAAAAGGUGAGUUUGCCAUUGGAAGUACUAUGGAGAUACAGAAUUACCAGUUGUGGAUUUGGUAAAGAGUCUUUUUAGGUGCAUGCCAUGGUUUAACCCCAGCCAGCAACCAUGCACCGCACAGCUGCUCACUCACUCACCCAGGAUGGGGGACAGAAUCAGAAGGGUAAAAGGUAGAGAACUGGUGGGUUGAAAUAAAGACAGUUUAAUAGGGAAAACAAAAGCCACACACACAAGCAAAGCAAAACAAGGAAUUCAUUCACUGCUUCCCAUGGGCAGGCAGGUACUCAGCCAUCCCCAGGAGAGCAGGGCCCCAUCAUACAUAACGGUGACUGGGGAAGAGAAACACCAUCACUCCAAACAUCCCUCCUCUUCCCUCUUCUUCCCCUCAAUUUAUAUACUGAGCAUGAUGUCAUAUGGUAUGGAAUAUCCCCUUGGUCAGUUUGGGUCACCUGUCCCAGCUGUGUCCCCUCCCAACCUCCUAAACACCCCCAGCCCCCUGGCCAGUGUGGCAGUAUGAAAAGCAGAAGAGGCCUUGGCUCUGUGUAAGCUCUGCUUAGCAAUAACAAGAAUAUUUCAUAUUGUCAACCCUUUAUUCAGCACAAAUCCAGAACACAGUCCCUGCUAGCCACUGUGAAGAAAAUUAGCCUUACCACAACCAAAAUCAGCAUAGUGAGGCAUCUUGCACAGAUCUUUAAGGUUUUUCUAGCUCACCUGGCUAGUAGAUGCUGAGGAAACUGAAGUAGUCCACAUUCUCUUCAAAACAAGUCUUCAUAACUUCAAAUGAGGAUGUUUUCCUGUAAGUAGCCUAGGAAAAACUAACACUUUAGCUUACUGGCUGGUUAAGUCAAGAUCUGAUUCUGCUUAGUGUAAUUUAAUGUGACACUUGGUCUGAAUGUGAUACUGUAUUCUGUGUUACAUGUUCAUCUGUCUGGCUGGCUUUUUUUCUGGUGAAAAGAACAAACUCUCUAGAACACAUGUAUGAAUCAGUUAAUAAUUAAUUUUAUACUAGUAAUGAAGUUAAGUUGCUGUGUCCUUAUGCUUUUCUAUAAUGAAAAAAAAGUUUUUUCUAGGAGAGAUGGAACUGAGGGAGCAAGCUGUACUCUGCACAAAAGUCAUUGCUUUAAUUCUGUAUUAUAGCCACUUAUAACUCUAAAUAAUAUUGACUUUUAAAGGUCUCUUUUGUUAUUGCAGUUAGGACUGCUGAUAGAUCAGAAAAUAUCUGUAGAGACUUUGAAGUUCUAAAGUGAGAACCACAUUAUCACAAAUAGGGUUGUUGGAAUUACUGCUAUUGCAGCAAGACCUUUUUUCCUUCAUUUUUAAAGGAAAUGAACCAGUUAAGAAAAACUACUUAAAUUGUGUUUCACUAUAAAAUAGAACUUUUUGGUGCUAAAUAUGCAGCAACUGCUGUUGCAUUCUGUACAACUGAGUAACCAGCUGCGUAGUGAGGAGUGUAUUUAACCUCAAGAAGACAGGGUAAGGUUAAACCCAAAGAUGCUCAUAUUAAUGCCCCUUUCAUCUCUUUUUAUUAGUUAUAGGCAAAUCAUGUAUUGAAUCAUUUUUAGUACGAGGUAAACAUGUUCUGUUCCUCAGCUUGAGGUCAUCUCUGAAAAGUAUGGAUAUCAGCAGUUGCAAAGUAGUACAUCUGUAAUGAGACUUCUUUAGGGUUGUUGAUUACACUGUAAUAGGUAAGCCUUCUGGAACACUGUCGAAGUAUCUCUCUAGGGGGAGCUGUAAUUUGCUUUUGUCUGGAUGAGUCUCUGGUAAGUGCGUAGUGAACCAUAAUUAAGGUUUUUUCUGGUACCUUUAGAUAUCUACAGAACCAGUAAGUAUUAAGGAUCUUUACAUGAAAUUGCCUAGUAAAUUUCAGGACAACACAAUGUGCUCUUAGCUAUCUCUGUUUUACCCUUUUUCCUUUACUGGAAGUGAACUCCACUGAGUCUGUUUCUUAUGUUGAGUUGAGACUGUCUGUCAGUUUGUAAUUGCAGCUUGACUCAGCCGUGUCUUUCUGUUUGAUCUAUCCUGAUAUGUGUGAGAUAUUUGUAAAUAAAAACUGUCAGAUUCUGCCUCAUCAGUCACAUAAGGAGCAUUGAAAUAUGGGACUGAAAGCGAGAAGGUUAGAUGAGACUGCUAAAUAGAGCUACUCUUGUGAGACAGGAAGAAUCAUGAUUCUCCAGCUCCAAAAAGGUCUGUGUUGUUUGGUGUUUGUCAAAUAGAUCUUCCAACCAUGUUUUUCUUUCCCCUUUACGGUAACUUUUAUUUUAUUUGGUAGGUUGUGUUGACUCAAGUGAGUGCAAACAACCAUCUUGGCUUCUUAUGCACUAACAUCCUCUCUUGAAGUGAUACCAUUUUAUUAGCAGCAAACUGUCUAGUGAUCCUUUGAUUAGACUGAAGUUUCUGUGAAGGUUAUCCAGUCAUGGAAAGUUACACUUGAUGAGAGAUGGCCAGUUCUGAAUAGAAUGAAUGAUAAGUUACUAGCUGUGAAAUAUUAACCUUGCCAGAAUUGGUAAGACCAAGCUUUUUGAUUUGAGUUGCAGGGACGUAAACCAGUGACUUUCAAGUAGCUCAUGCCUUGACUGCAUACAAGCAAGUUAAGAGAGUAAACACUUGUUCUGUUUCUCUUGCUCUACCUUCAGUUAGUGUCUGAAAGUACCCUCUGCUUGUGUCUCUGAAAUCUCCCCUUGUGUCUUUACCUCUUCUACUGAAUGAAAAAUAUUAACUGAAUAAUCUGUUUGGAAGCCUAUAGAAGUUUCCUAAAAGUUAGCAAAUUGUUAAGCCACGUGACUAAAAGUAGGAAAGUCUUUACCAGCUUUGUCUUUCUACAGUGGUAUCUCAUCCAUGCUUGUGUCCAGUGUCCUGGAAAAUAUGGAUGUACGUAGUACUUACUGGUUAUGGUGUUGGAAGAAUUAUGUCUAGAAGGAUGUAACAAAGAUCUUGCCAACUUUAUAGGCAUAAUAAAUAGCAUCCUAAAAUUUGUUUUGAUUUCAGUGGGCUUUUAUGCAGUUUCUGUGAAAAGACUGAAUGAUGAUACUGAAGUUUUUACAAAAACUAAUGAGCUUGACAAUACUUAGUUCUUGCAAUACUCAGAGGCAUGUCUGCUACAAGAAGAAUUAAUUUGAUGGAAUAAUCUUUCUUAUGACUAGAGACGACAAACAGUGUUUUCCCUUGUGUAGUAUCUGUUUUGAGAAGAAUGGUUAUGUAUUUUCUCUACUUUCUCAGGCUCCUUAGUUGCUUUCACAUUCUUCUCAAAUCUCUCUUCUUACAGUUUGAGAGGGAAGAUGUAUCCAGGUAAGGUGUUAUCUGUUUGUAUUUGCCUUUCAGUUUAGAAUUGUUUUGCAGUCAAUUUUAUGUAGUGAAGUUGACCAAAAAUAGUGACAUAUGCAAUUUCCAUAGAGAUUUUCAGUGAGGAGUCUUCACUGGUGUGAUUGUAGUGGAUGUUGAACUCCUGAUUGAGUAUAUGGUUUGUUUGUUCUGUUGCCUUUUUUUUUCUUUCUGGUACCACAUGGAAACCUACAUGACAUUCCUUUGAUCUCAGGGAUGUCCAAGGAGGUGUGUGUGAGAUGGACAGGAAAGAUGGUCAACCAAGAAGAACAAAGCUUUAUUGCAGCAGUGAAGUUCUGUGCCACUAUCUUAUUCCUCUACCUCUUAGCAGUGCUUUUUGUGCAAAAACAACUGCAAAUGGCAGGAAGGUACCAGUGUAAACAAUAAAAAAAGCUGGCUUGGUGUUUUAAUCAACUUUAUCUGAAACUGUACUCCUACUUUUAUGUGCAGCAUGUUGGAUAUGAAUCUGAACAUGAAUAACUCUUGACAGCAUCUAUUUGCAUGUCACGAUGCUUUACUUCCUGAGCGUGUAACUGACUCUGCUUAUUUCCACUUUUCAGUAAGGGAGAGAUGUCAUUUAAAACAGUAGAAGCUCAACCAGUUGUUUGGGGUGAGACUGACAUCUAAGUUCUAAAGUGUGACUGCCUUGUCCCCUGUCUUUACAAGCACGUUCAGAAAAACCUUCAUUUUGUGGCUGCCUCUGGUAUGUAGGUGGCCUGACCAACAACAUCUGACAUUGUUGACUGUAGUUCCUUCAGUUGAGGUUUUUCUCAGUCCUGCUCUGGUUUAUACAGUGUGAUUUUAAGAAUAGUCUGCCUUGCAUGCAGUGGAAGGCAAAGUAGAAAUUCUCCACUUUUUAAAACAUGUUGAUUAGCUGCAUUUAAUUAUAGUACUUGCUUUCAUUGUAAAUACCUCUUCUCAGUAAAAAAUGGAGGGUAGAUUUUUUUUAAGACUCAGUUUUCCUGUAUCUUCUGGGAAUUUUUUGGUGACCAGCUGCAUUGAAAGGCCACUGCUUUCCAAACCGUAGUGGAGCAACCUUUGUUCUUGUGGUUACUGACAUCUCAUUUUUGAGCUAAAUGACGCUGAAGUUUGUUUGGCUUUCUAAUUGUUCGGCAGUUCUUUAGUUAACCAAACUUCUGGCAAAGCUGAGUUCUACCUUACCAACUCCUGGUUUCUCCUUGGUGUGUGGGUGUGGUUUGGGAAUUGAUGUUCUUUGGUGUCUUUUUUUUUUUUUUAAAUUGUUUUGUUUUGUUUUUUGUUUGGUUUGGUUUUGGUUUUCUGUUAAAGCAUGACCCCCAGCCAAGUCACCUGUAUUAGUAAAUGUCUCAAAUGCGGCAUGUUCUAUUUAUAUGAGAUUGAAUAACUAAAUCUGAAUUACCAAGCCUGAUUUUUGUUCUGACUACAGAAGUUCUUCAUCUAGAGUGGAAAGCAUCUAGCAAAACACAGCUCCUCCAAAACAGUCACCGCUAUCUGUCCAUUCUGGAAAAACACUGAUAUUUUAAGCAAAUAAUCUUGAAACAAUUUUUAAAAAGCAGAUGGGAUAUGUUUGCAGUUCAAACUGAUAAGUUUGAAAUAAUAUGUAAGCACAAAAAUAUGUGCAUUUUGUCCUUUAGAGAAAUGAAUUUCACUUUUUAUUUUUAUAUGGAAAUUGGUUGUACUGUUUAGAACAGAACUUGUGCAUUUCCAUUCCGUUCUUGCUGCCUCAAGGCUAUUUCUAUCUCUGGCAAGGGGAAAUAAUUUUCCUGUUUUGUAAGAGCUUCAUCAUCUCCUUCCCCUUUGAACUUAGUGUUUUUCAUAUGUUUCUGUUUCUAGGCUAUUAAUUGUUAAUACUGGGAUCUGGUGUCAAAGUGUCAAAUAAAGCAAGUGUAGGUGACAGAGAUGAAGAGUUAGCAGUAUCUUUUCCUUGGUCUACUCCCUCAGUUGUUUCUCUGCCAAGACAACAUCGAAAUGAGGUUUCUCUCAUGUUCAGUGUUUCUUUUUGACAAUAAACAUUAAGAUGUAGUUAAUUUCCAGGUUAUUUUUCUGUUGGUUUGUAAAGUAAGCUGCUUUUUUCUAUAAGAAAUUACUAUGUCAAGUCUAAUGAAAUGAUAGCUAAAAACUUGGGAUUUUUAAGCUCUUUAUAUUGCAAAGUAUUUUCAGUUCUGCAUAAAUAUUAGGAAGUGAAAAGCAUCUAUAUUUUUGAAAUGAAAUUUAAAUGUUAUUUGGCUCAUCAAAACACUAACUCUUUACAUCAAUACUUUAUGAAUUAGCUCAAGACAUGACACAUUAACUUCUGGGUUCUGCUGUAAUGCUGAGAAUUGCUUUCUCUCUUAACAUCUGGAAAAAUAUGCAGUCGUGGGUAGUGUUUUCUCAUGCCACUGCCCAUUUAAGCAGCAGUUGAAUUCUGUCCUUAUGUGACACAGUCAUCCAAUUGUUAGCACACAGGAAAGAUAUCCGUAACAGAUUAUGUUUCAUAAAUUCUCAGAAUUACUUUUUUUAGUUCGUGAAGGUAGUAUUUGAAGUUUGUAGAUGCAUAUAGGUUUGUUACCCUGCUACUGUUACUGUAGAUGAAAAAAAAUAAUUCAUAACUGAAUAUAUUUAUUUUGAACUGAGUAUUUUUACAAGCUAAACUUACACAACUUUAGGCCAAUAAGCUCACAUUGUUGUUCAUCUCCAUCAUUCCUUUUGGUGAAGUAGUCAUUUCUGAUAUUUAAUGCUUCAGAGUGUUGUCCACAAAAAUCAGAUUCAUUACCCAAUGUGCAACAAGCCAAUAAUUACAUAGUCAAGAGAGAUAUUGAUUACUUAUUUAUUUUGGAGGUAUACAAGGUUGGGUGCUCAGCGGCAUUCCACAAAUCAAACACGCCCCUCGUGGGCGUGGACUUUCCAUGCCAUUAUUUAUACACAGAAGUUCAGUGUUAGUGACUGCCCAAGUACAGCCCCUCCAUUAUGAUUGAUUAGUAAUUUCCAUACAAGUUACAUAAUCCCAGCUAACUUCUACACAUGCUCAGGGGAAGGGUGUUUACCUGGGCAGGGGUCUUUUUUACCUGUAGGCAUGAUUUUUAAUAUUGUAAUGAAAGUAGGUCAAUUAUAGGAUACAUGGACCUUGAGUCUUUUGCCAAAAUGGCAACAUAUGCAUAGACAUACAUUACAUCCUUAAAGCUUGUUAGUUCCAGGUUGUCCUUGAGUGAGGGAUGCUAACUACCACUUGUUCUACUGACAUACAACAAUAUCUUGAUUUACUUCAUUUUUAGAAUAUGUUAGCUCCAGAAAUUCCUUGACUGAGGGAUGCUAGCUGCUAUCUGUUUGUCUUCUUUCCUGCUGAUCAGUCUUAAAAGUAUACAACGAUAAAACAUCAAAGGUCAUCCUAACUUAAGAUAAUCUUGAUGUGUUACACAUUUUGCAAUAAGUGGACUGGUUUGGGGGGUGAAAGCAAGCAGGUGUUGGUUAAAGCAACAAGAUUAAAUCCAUGUAAUCUGUGAAACAGAUAUUUUAUAAGGAGAGUGUACUUUUGUUGGGAAGCAACAGUGUUCAGAAACUACUCAAAAAGGAAUCAGUACUUCCAUUAUUGGUUUGAUUCUAUGAAAGGGAUUCUGACAGUAAAUUUGGUAGUAUAAAAGCAUCUUCGGCUGAAAGUUGUAGCCUGGGAAUUGAGUUGAACAAAUGCUCCACAGAGUAAUGUCAGAACUACAGAUAACUGUGUAACAUUGUGUAACAAAAUACAUCAGUUCCACGAAACCUGGCUGAUGUUAAACUGAGCAGUUUUUGCUUAGCUGAACUGUAGGAUUGUGUGUUUUUUCAGACUUGUAAUUUGGAGACACAAAAGAUGGUGUCCAUGGUUAUUCUCAUUGGAGUCCUUCAGUAGUUAGCACUCUGCCUGAAAAAUGUGAACUUGAUGCAGGGGAAAAAAGACGUUAUGAAAACUAAUGUUUACAAGAACCAAAGAUGUUUUGUCUAGUACUGAUUUUGUUGCUGCGAGCUUGUUUAUAGUAGCCAAAGAUAGUAAGUACUUCUGCUGUUUUGCAUCUGGGGAAUCAAAAAGAAUGAACUUUUAAGUAGCUCUUACAAUGUCCUGUGUUCUAGCUCUUGCACUAUUUUCAUGGGAUCUUUUCUAUUUUCUUACGUAUUUAUCAACAUUGAAGGAAGCUAAACUCUAGGAAAGUACAGAAUUUUACCGUUUUCAUCAUCUUGGUGUUGGACGUUAAAAAUUAAUCUGCAAAAGGUAGAAAAUAGCAAGUUAAGGCUCACCUUAAGAACAUGAAUUUUUGUUGAAUUUCUUAUCAAAAUGGUCUUUCUGUCUUAGUAUUGUUGCUUUCCAUACAACAUCCACUUGUGUGUAUGAUUUCCUUGAAUUUACAUGGGCAUCUCUUCAUUUGAGAUUGAUUUACUCUAUGAUCCCAGUCACUUACAGGGAGUGUAUUCUGAUUUGUAUUUCACAAAUUCUUUAUAGCUGAACAUUUUUUUAGCCUUCUGUGUGUUUUGAGAGUAUUGAUUAAAAAUGCUGUUGAAAGGAAAGAAGCCUUGGAGGAAUUUAGUUAGAAAAAAUUUAAUUAUGAAAUUCCACUGACAACUGCUUUUUCUCUUGUUUACUCAGCUACUUUUUAGCGUAGUGUAUAUUUUAACAGGUACCUCUUAGUAAUUAAAUGGGUGUAGCAAUUAAAAAAUGGCUUGUCAAGUCUGAAGUGUUAGGCUUUACAUUGCCUUCAAUCAAGAAAGCUUUUCAGUAUUUUCAGAUCACCAUUUUUUUUUCAACAGUGCCAACUCUGCUCUAAUUCUUAAUUAAAUUUAAUUUUUAUUUUGUUUUGUUUUGUUUGGUGAUAGGUUUUUGGUUUUGUUUCUGUUUUGUUUCUACCUGAAAUUGGUGACACAUUAACAAGUUUAGGGUAACUGAGGUCUUUCUGUUUCCUGUUACUUGCUGUGACAGUAACUCUGGGUUAUUCUAGCAAUUCUUUAAUUAAAGUUUCAGUGUCUGCUUGACUAAGAAAAUCUCAAUAUUUUUAUAAUGCACAUGCAAAGUGUUUGAGCAGAGAACUGACAAUGGACUUUUGAGUCAGCUGUGCUUCCAUGUAGCUGCACUUCUAGGAGUUUUGCUAAUUCUGUUGCUGUUUUUUCUUAUUUUCCAGCCUCUGGUAGCAGUUCUCAGUUCAAUCAAGUCAACUAAGGGGAGAGACAGCAUCUGUUGUUUGGUACCUUUGAGUAAUAUUCUGAGGAACUUUCAUAUUGCUAUAAUGUGUAGUAAGUUUUAAAUGCACAGUGAUUUUAAUUUGUCACUCCAGUGGGCCUGGAAUUUAAAAUUCUUAGUCGCCAUUUUCUUUGAAUCAUUAGUCCUGGCUAAAGCUAAGGAGACAUGAAUAUUCACAUAAUUUCAUAACAGAAAAGGAAAAAAGAGUGUAUUUACUUCUAUUUGUUCAAUAUGUAUAUUUAUAUUCUGUGCCAUUUGGUAAUAAAACUGUGCAAUGGACAGCUGAUUUAGAGAAACUCUUUGGAAACUGUUUUCCUUCCAUAUGGAAGGUCUUUUUUCUGUAAUCUCUGUUCAUAUUAUAGGCAUUGUAGGUCAGUUUCUUCUUAUACCUCCUCUACUCUAUUCCAUAGUCACGUUUUUCUGUAUUCCAUAUCGACAAGGGAAAAGACAUUUAAUCCAUACUCCCAUAUGCAACAUAUAUACUAUUGCUAUUUUAUCUGAGUCUGUGGGCUUUUUGCUAGGGGCAGGAUGCCUCUCCCCUGAUUUUAGAAAAUUGCUUCUGAACUUGUCAGCUAAGUUUUAUUUGAGGUCUCUUAAGUCCUGUGAGAUGUAUUGCUAUACAGAGUGGUAAUUUUAGUGUAAACACAGUGAAAGAUGUGUUAUACCUUUUCUUGGGUUGAGAAAUUAUAAAUCUCUCAAUGAAGCCUCUUUCUCUUUUUGUAGAAUCCAGUCAGCGACUUCCAAACUAGUAUCUGAAUUUCCCAUGGGGAACUGCAGGAUCGUUUUGACCUAGAAUUGCUUGCUUUUUUGAGAAGAAGGAAAGUGUGGGGCUGAAUUACAGAAGACAAAUGAGUACAAAAAUAAUUAUAUGUGUCCGUAUAUGAAUAAAAUUUUGACAAAGGCA